rnacentral:pre_miRNA from 1 species
AAAGACUCAAUUUCUAGGUUCUAGUGUUCAUCGUUUGACCAUCCGUCUUAUAUAAAAUUUUUUUAUGAUUAAUAUUUUUAUUAUUGUUAGAUGAUAAAACAUGAAUAAUACUUUAUGCAUGACUUAUCUUUUUAAAUUUUUUCAUACAAACGAUGAAACGUUAGAUACGAAAACACAGGAAUUGAGUUUUU